rnacentral:tRNA from 1 species
GGGUCUGUGGCUCAGUGGUAGAGCGCUCGCUUAGCAUGUGUGAGGCCCUGGGUUCGAUCCUAAGCACCA